GACGAACGCUGGCGGCGUGCUUAACACAUGCAAGUCGAACGGAAAGGCCCUGCUUUUGUGGGGUGCUCGAGUGGCGAACGGGUGAGUAACACGUGAGUAACCUGCCCUUGACUUUGGGAUAACUUCAGGAAACUGGGGCUAAUACCGGAUAGGAGCUCCUGCUGCAUGGUGGGGGUUGGAAAGUUUCGGCGGUUGGGGAUGGACUCGCGGCUUAUCAGCUUGUUGGUGGGGUAGUGGCUUACCAAGGCUUUGACGGGUAGCCGGCCUGGGAGGGUGACCGGCCACACUGGGCAUGAGAGACGGCCGAGAGGCAUACGGGAGGGAGCAGGGGGGAAGGUUGCACAAUGGGGUCAGGCCGGAUGCAGCAACGCCGCGUGAGGGAUGACUGUCUUCGGGUUGUAAAACUCUUUUAGUAGAGAAGAAGCGAAAGGGACGGUACCUGCAGAAAAAGAACCGGCUAACUCCGUG
rnacentral:rRNA from 1 species